rnacentral:lncRNA from 1 species
UACGGGGUAACCAUAGUAUUUGUGAUUGGAUUUAAAUGGAUUUGGAUCUUUAGUCUAGUGACAUCACAAAGAUUAAGCAAGGGAUAGAUCCUUAGGUAUUUAUAAAAGGUCAAAAAGACUCAAAUAAUAUCGAUCGGUUAGUUUUUAAGGUGAGGUUCUAGAUUAUUAUAUGUCUGUUGAUAAUAGUCUCACCCAGCCAACUUCAUUAUGGA